rnacentral:sRNA from 1 species
UUUUAUUUUGUUUUGCCUGCAUGUCUGUCUGUGUACUGCUUGUAUGCCUGUGCCCUGGGAGGUCAGAAGAGGACUUUGGAUCCCAGGGAACUGAAGGUGCAGCCCCACCCGACCCUGUGUGCAGGUGCUGGGAUUAGAGGGGCACACAAACACGCUCGCCUGACUUCUCUUUGUGUGUGCAUCUUUCUUUUCCUUGUCGGCCCA